rnacentral:rRNA from 1 species
GACGAACGCUGGCGGCGUGCUUAACACAUGCAAGUCGAACGGAAAGGCCCUGCUUUUGUGGGGUGCUCGAGUGGCGAACGGGUGAGUAACACGUGAGUAACCUGCCCUUGACUUUGGGAUAACUUCAGGAAACUGGGGCUAAUACCGGAUAGGAUCUCCUGCUGCAUGGUGGGGGUUGGAAAGUUUCGGCGGUUGGGGCUGGACUCGCGGCUUAUCAGCUUGUUGGUGGGGUAGUGGCUUACCAAGGCUUUGACGGGUAGCCGGCCUGAGAGGGUGACCGGCCACAUUGGGACUGAGAUAAGGCAGAGGCUCCUACGGGAGGCAGAAGGGGGGAAUAUUGCACAAGGGGCGGAAGCCGGAUGCAGCAACGCCGCGUGCGGGAUGACGGCCUUCGGGGUGUAAACCGCUUUCGCCUGUGACGAAGCGUGAGUGACGGUAAUGUGUAAAGAAGCACCGGCUAACUACGUG